GCUCGCUCGACGGGUUUAAAAGGAUACGCGUCCGUGUGGAACGUUUCCAGGUGGGGCCGCUUCGGGUAGCGGUCGCAUCACCGGUGCUGUCGCUUUGUACAUCAACAACGACACAACGAGACGGCCCAUUCGGCGGCGCGAGCGCUUACCUUCUGCGCCCCCGAGAGCGACCGUUCCGUGUGGUGGUUCGAAACCAAGGACAGAUUGACCAGUUAUGCCGAAGUAACCAAGUGUACAAUGCUGCCUCCCCACCCGGCACUCAGUCGGGAGGAGGCCGUAAUCCUAAGGCAAAUACAGACCGCGUCACUCCUCGCCCCCGCAAUGGUGCACGUGCUUCAUCCAGAGCUCUAUCCGAGUGGGCUGCGCGGUAUUUGUGCAGCGGGUCCGGCGGACCAAUGGCACAUCAUGUGGGACUGCGCUAAGUUCCCGACGGCAGCUACCUCCAGGACUUACCCGCCCGAACUUCAAGGUGCACUGCAGUCUGCAGACAAGGACUCACAACUAUGGGCCGUCCAGCAGACCCGGGGAGCGCUCGAAAAGCACAAGCCUCAUGACCCACUACAAACGGGCCCAACUGGGGUAGUGCAGAGUAGGGUAUAACCCUGGGUCGACACUUGUCCAGCAUUACGACGCGUUAAACCGUCAUUUGCCGACAUUUUAAUAAAGUUACCCCUAUAGUAAAUCGGAAGACAAGCGCGCCCUUUCAGGCUUCCGUGCUGUGAGACAUAAACCCGAGAACAGUUCAAUCGAGGCUGGCUGCAGAGCUGCACGCGAAAGCAGCUGAACGGUCCUGCUUCUUCAUAUUUGCCCCCACAUUUGGCAGACCAUCAUUUUCGACCUACUUACACCAAAGGUAGCCAUAAAAGCCAAGAAGAAGCAUAUUACGAUAUGUGUGAGCUCCUUCUUCCUUUUUCUUCUAUUUUCUUCUUUUUUCUUCUUUUUUUUGAAGAGGAGGUGACUCUGUGCAUCUAAAAAGUGAUUGAUUUGUUUUCGUAAGGGAAGCAAAACUGCUUACAUUUUGACGCCAUUACAAGCGCCAUGCUACUCCCUUCUCGGGCACACAAGUGUAGCAGUUGCUGGAACUCCUUCCUGAAGUCCCGGAAAAUUUUCACAUGCACACACGAGGCUUAUGUGUUCGCUGGCUCGCACGCUCUUUCAUUUGUUGGUUCGUUCGCCACCCGCCGUGGUUGCUCAGUGGCUAGGUUGUUGGGCUGCUGAGCAUGAGGUGGCGGAAUUGAAUCCCGGCCUCGGCGACCGCAAUUUGAUGGGGGCGAAAUGCCAAAACAGCCGUGUACCUAGAUUCAGGCGCACGUUAAGGAACCCCAGCGGGUCGAAAUUUCCGCAGACCUCCUCCAGUACGGCGUGCCUCAUAAUCAGAAAGUGGUUUUGGCACGUAAAUACCCAUAAUUAAAAAUUUUUGCGUUCACUCACUCACUCACUCACUCACUCACUCACUCACUCACUCACUCACUCACUCACUCACUCACUCACUCACUCAGUCACUCACUCACUCACUCACUCACUCACUCACUCACUCACUCACUCAAUCACUCGCUCACUCACUCACUCACACACUCACUCACUCACGCACUCACUACAUUUCUAUGGUCUGCGCAGAACACUUUGGUUGAACAGUCAUUGCGACACGCCUUUGACCGCUGUCAUAUUCUCGCCGGUUCCUUCCCAAGACCUAUUCAUAAGCCCCGAAAACGAGGCUGCUGUCUCGAAAAUAAAUCAUAAUCACUAACGCGUGGGCUGGUCAGAUCCAACACUGGUCCCAGGUAACAACAAGACGGGCGUUUGAUAAUUGUUUUCUUUAAUACAGGCCUCCAACGAAAAGACCCACUGGUAUUGCUAAAUUUGUCAGUUCAAGGCCCUUGCUUCGGGGUGCAUUCUGCGUAUCCGAUAGCACUGUCAUUGUUUAAAAGCACGUACAUGAAACUCACCCUUGCCUUGCGUGGUGCACAGGCACGUGUCUGCAUGCCCCCCCCCCCCGGUCCCCUUUUGGAAUCUUAAAAGAGAUAAAAAUUUAUCCACCAUUCACACGAUUCGUAUCUCGCGUGGGCUCGAUACAAAAUCUCUAAAUGAUAUAUACACAGAGAGGUGCAUAUAAGUGCGACCUCGCUUAUACAUGCCAACAGGCCAAGGUCUGACGUCGUAAAGCGGGCCUCCUGGGAGACGCUCUCUUCCCCCUCGGGCCAACGUAAAGAUUCGCGCGGAUAUCAGAACGUCUCUUUCGGUUUCUUUCUUUUUUUCUUUUUGUUUUGUUUUGUUUGGUCUUUUUUUUUUAUUCGCGCGAUUGGUCUCUCGC